rnacentral:rRNA from 1 species
GACGAACGCUGGCGGCGUGCCUAAUACAUGCAAGUUGAGCGAUGAAGAUUGGUGCUUGCACCAAUUUGAAGAGCAGCGAACGGGUGAGUAACGCGUGGGGAAUCUGCCUUUGAGCGGGGGACAACAUUUGGAAACGAAUGCUAAUACCGCAUAACAACUUUAAACAUAAGUUUUAAGUUUGAAAGAUGCAAUUGCAUCACUCAAAGAUGAUCCCGCGUUGUAUUAGCUAGUUGGUGAGGUAAAGGCUCACCAAGGCGAUGAUACAUAGCCGACCUGAGAGGGUGAUCGGCCACAAUGGGACUGAGACAAGGCCCAAACUCCUACGGGAGGCAGCAGUAGGGAAUCUUCGGCAAUGGACGAAAGUCUGACCGAGCAACGCCGCGUGAGUGAAGAAGGGUUUCGGAUCGUAAAACUCUGUUGGUAGAGAAGAACGUUGGUGAGAGUGGAAAGCUCAUAAAGUGACGGUAACUACCCAGAAAGGGACGGCUAACUACGUG